GAACAAAAAUGGGAGUUCUAAGCUACUGCUACCUCCCAAUUACCUCUACAGCCACACCCAUAUCUCAAGAUUCUUCAAACAAUCCAACCCCAUUGUCAAUUCCAACACAAUCCAAGCAGAAAUCUGUGAAAUUGUCUAGUGGGGUGGCUGCUAAUGGGGACUAUGCUGCUGACCCGCCCACUACCACUACUAAGCUUAGGAAGUACUGGGGUGAGGAUGUGGAUCCUCUCACCUCUGAUGAUUUUAUAUGGAAUAAGGAAUUUAUGGGUCGCAUGAAGAAGUAUAUUCAGGAUCCUCAAGAAAAUGCCCCUGCUGCUGCUGUAAAGGAAGAGAUAUCAGGAUUUCUUAGCUUAAACAGAGUCAUGAAUCUUGACAGUUUGGAAGUUGACUUGACCAAGGAGCUAACUGCCCCUUCACAACCUGUUCUAGAACCAGAAGUCGAAAAUACUCAAGCUGGUUUUACUGCAUCUCAAAAAUGGCGGCCAGCACCAACACGACGCGAGCAGGAGAAAUGGGGCAAAGCUGCCAAGGCUGCAACUGGGGGCAGUGACGUGAUGUUGAGGGAAAUAAAACGUCCUCAAGGGGAUCCAAAGGUUAUGGCUGCUCAGUCAAGGGAACAGUAUCUUAAGUUAAAGAAUAAAUUGCAGCUCCUCACAGUUGGGAUUGGUGGUGUUGGUGUGAUUUCAGCUUAUAUCUCUUAUUCUCCUGAAAUAACAGUAAGUUACACUGCUGGGUUGAUUGGUUCUUUGAUGUACAUGCGUAUGCUUGGAAACAGUGUGGAUUCUAUGCAGUCAGAUGGACCCAGAGCACUUAUUAAGGGAGCUGUUGGGCAGCCAAGGCUAUUGGUUCCUGUUGCUUUGGUCAUGAUUUUUAAUCGGUGGAAUGGGAUCCUAGUCCCAGAGUAUGGAUUCAUGCACCUCGAGUUGAUACCCAUGCUAGUCGGAUUUUUCACUUACAAGAUUGCAACUUUUGUCCAAGCAAUCGAGGAAGGUGUAUCGAUCAUUGGAAAUAAGUCACAAGCUUAGCUCUAGUUUUUAUGAUUUUCCAUCAACCUCUAAUGAAAAUAGUAGAGGAGAAAAAAGUUCAGGAAGACGUUGGAUUCGAAAAAUGAGCUACAACAUCUAUACUCAAUUUAUCACUGGAUGGAUUGAACAAAUCGAUGAUUUCCUCAUGUAAAUUCUUAUAUAUACUAGAUCGUGCUCUCAGUUUCGUUGAUAAUCUCAAGUUUCUUAUCCCGUUGAAGGUUUAUGAAUCGUUUUCCAUAAAAAAAAAAAAAGAGUGUAAAUUCUUCUAGUUAAUUACGAUUAUCAGGAGUUUCCAUUUUGU
rnacentral:misc_RNA from 1 species